ACUUUUCUCUAAAGUGAAGUGUCUCUCAUUUAUUCGGUGUCAUUAUUUAAGUGCAGUUUAAAACAAUGGGGAAACUAGACUCAAAGCUUAGGAAAGGAAGGAUUUCAAACCAUGUAGUUUCAGACCUGAUUUAGUAAUGUGGUCUGAAAACGCGCCCAAAGAAGGAAUGAAAUGCGUCCUUAUGGUCUAAGGCGGAGUAUUCGAUGUCCUAAGAAAUAUGGUGACACUAUUAAAGAGAGGAAAUACAU